rnacentral:rRNA from 1 species
ACCGAAGCUGCGGCAGCGACGCUUAUGCGUUGUUGGGUAGGGGAGCGUUCUGUAAGCCUGUGAAGGUGGCCUGUGAGGGUUGCUGGAGGUAUCAGAAGUGCGAAUGCUGACAUAAGUAACGAUAAAGCGGGUGAAAAGCCCGCUCGCCGGAAGACCAAGGGUUCCUGUCCAACGUUAAUCGGGGCAGGGUGAGUCGACCCCUAAGGCGAGGCCGAAAGGCGUAGUCGAUGGGAAACGGGUUAAUAUUCCCGUACUUGGUGUUACUGCGAAGGGGGGACGGAGAAGGCUAUGUUGGCCGGGCGACGGUUGUCCCGGUUUAAGCGUGUAGGUGUGUGUUCCAGGUAAAUCCGGUUCACUUUAACACUGAGGCGUGACGACGAGGCACUACGGUGCUGAAGCAACAAAUGCCCUGCUUCCAGGAAAAGCCUCUAAGCAUCAGGUAACAUCAAAUCGUACCCCAAACCGACACAGGUGGUCAGGUAGAGAAUACCAAGGCGCUUGAGAGAACUCGGGUGAAGGAACUAGGCAAAAUGGUGCCGUAACUUCGGGAGAAGGCACGCUGACACGUAGGUGAAGUGAUUUACUCAUGGAGCUGAAGUCAGUCGAAGAUACCAGCUGGCUGCAACUGUUUAUUAAAAACACAGCACUGUGCAAACACGAAAGUGGACGUAUACGGUGUGACGCCUGCCCGGUGCCGGAAGGUUAAUUGAUGGGGUCAGCGCAAGCGAAGCUCCUGAUCGAAGCCCCGGUAAACGGCGGCCGUAACUAUAACGGUCCUAAGGUAGCGAAAUUCCUUGUCGGGUAAGUUCCGACCUGCACGAAUGGCGUAAUGAUGGCCAGGCUGUCUCCACCCGAGACUCAGUGAAAUUGAACUCGCUGUGAAGAUGCAGUGUACCCGCGGCAAGACGGAAAGACCCCGUGAACCUUUACUAUAGCUUGACACUGAACAUUGAGCCUUGAUGUGUAGGAUAGGUGGGAGGCUUUGAAGUGUGGACGCCAGUCUGCAUGGAGCCGACCUUGAAAUACCACCCUUUAAUGUUUGAUGUUCUAACGUGGACCCGUAAUCCGGGUUGCGGACAGUGUCUGGUGGGUAGUUUGACUGGGGCGGUCUCCUCCUAAAGAGUAACGGAGGAGCACGAAGGUUGGCUAAUCCUGGUCGGACAUCAGGAGGUUAGUGCAAUGGCAUAAGCCAGCUUGACUGCGAGCGUGACGGCGCGAGCAGGUGCGAAAGCAGGUCAUAGUGAUCCGGUGGUUCUGAAUGGAAGGGCCAUCGCUCAACGGAUAAAAGGUACUCCGGGGAUAACAGGCUGAUACCGCCCAAGAGUUCAUAUCGACGGCGGUGUUUGGCACCUCGAUGUCGGCUCAUCACAUCCUGGGGCUGAAGUAGGUCCCAAGGGUAUGGCUGUUCGCCAUUUAAAGUGGUACGCGAGCUGGGUUUAGAACGUCGUGAGACAGUUCGGUCCCUAUCUGCCGUGGGCGCUGGAGAACUGAGGGGGGCUGCUCCUAGUACGAGAGGACCGGAGUGGACGCAUCACUGGUGUUCGGGUUGUCAUGCCAAUGGCACUGCCCGGUAGCUAAAUGCGGAAGAGAUAAGUGCUGAAAGCAUCUAAGCACGAAACUUGCCCCGAGAUGAGUUCUCCCUGAGACUUAGAGUCUCCUGAAGGAACGUUGAAGACGACGACGUUGAUAGGCCGGGUGUGUAAG